GGCCAAUUAGAGAAGAAGGGGGAUAUAAAGGGAGGUUGUGAUAGGGAUAAGGGAGAAAUGCCGAGAGGCCGGGAGGAUGAGGGUUUUGUUGCUGAUCUUGUUUGUUAGCUCAUUUGUUUUUUUGGAUCCGACGGUUUUUCGUGUUUGUGUGCUUUGGUUUUCUCGGGUAGAAGUUGAUAUUGGCUUUUAUGUUUGCAUCUCGCUGAGUUGCUGCGGGACUUCUUGAUCGGAUCUUGCCGUUCUUGGGGUUUUUGAUCGGAAAUGAUAAUGAUAUGCUACUUCUUAGCAUCUCUGUGAUCUUGGCAAGAUUUGUUGUACUAAGGCGAGUCCUGUUUGAUAAGGAUUUUUGGUUGCUUUUCUUGUCACUCCCUUGUUGUUUCCGAGAACUCUUGUUGGAUUUGUGGAGGAAGAAGGCUAUAAUUGAAGAUGCAAUCGAUUCUAUUUCAUCUUGCCGAGUUCUGUUAUGGAUGUGUUUGUGUGAACAGGAAAGAAUACUGGGACUGAUAUGGAGGAGACGGAGGUGGUUUGAUCGAGCUAGUGAGAUGAGAUGCGUCAGACACUACCACUGUUAGGAGUUUGUGAUUUGAAAAUGAAAUAUAGAAUUUCCUAUUGUAAUAAUAGAGACAUGAGUGACUUCCUUUCUUGUGGGAAGCUAAAGACGGUUUAUUUUGAUUUUUUUUAAAAAUAAUAAAUAAAUAAAAAUAGAAAAACAAAUUUGAUGAU